rnacentral:misc_RNA from 1 species
CCUCCUUUCUAAGGAUGAGUGAAAGUAAAAUUUCACUCUAAAUAAUAUACAUCGGUAAUGUUGACCGUCCUCAUUUCUCUUCUUAAAGUAAUGUUUCCUUCUUGUAGGGCCGGUAGCUCAGUUGGUUAGAGCACACCCUUGAUAAGGGUGGGGUCGAAAGUUCGAGUCUUUCUCGGCCCACCAAAAACCUAAAUGGGGGAUUAGCUCAUCUGGGAGAGCGCCUGAUUUGCAUUCAGGAGGUAGCAGGUUCGAUCCCUGUAUCCUCCACCAGGAAACAUUUAGUUAUUAAAAAUGUAAUAAAAAUAAAUUAUAUCAAUAUCUAUAUCCGAACAUUAAAAGUUAUUAUUUAAUGUUCAAAAUAAAAAUUUGAUCACAUCAUAGAAAAAUAUUUUAAAAAGAAUUUUUUUCUGUGCAUAAAUCAAGCGUUUAAGGGCGUGUAGUGGAUGCCUNGGCACUGAAAGCCGAUGAAGGACGUGAUAUACUGCGAUAAGUUUCGGGGAGCUGUAUGUAAGCUUUGAUCCGAANAUUCCG